rnacentral:rRNA from 1 species
CUUGCAGUUCGAUCGGAGCAUUUGAGGUCUUUGACAAUUGAAUAUUGAUGGGCAAAUCUACGAAUAGCGAGUUCAAUAUUUUAGAAGAGCGCCUUAGGCAAGUUGAUGAUCAAGCUACUAAGAGCAUACGGUGGAUGCCUAGGCAAUGGAAGGCGAUGAAGGACGUGGUAAGCUGCGAUAAGCCCCGGGGAGCCGCAAACAGGCAUUAUAUCCGGGGAUUUCCGAAUGGGGGAACCCUCUCCAGAGACACUGGAGAAGCUCUCGACUGAAUUCAUAGGUUGGGAGCGGCGAACUCGGGGAAGUGAACCAUCUUAGUACCCGAAGGAAGAGAAAACAAAUCAGUGAUUCCGUCAGUAGCGGCGAGCGAACACGGAACAGCCCAAACCGGUCGGUCUUCGGAUCGACUGGGGUUGUAGGGCCUGCCCGGUUUAGAGUCGGCGAGUUACCAACCGAUCCGUUAGCAGAACAGUCUGGAAGGACUGGCGAUACAGGGUGAUAGCCCCGUAAGCGAAAACGGUGAGGCUCGUGGCAGGUACCUGAGUAACGCGGGACACGUGGAACCCUGCGUGAAUCUACGACGACCAUGUCGUAAGGCUAAAUACUCUCCAUUGACCGAUAGUGAACCAGUACCGUGAGGGAAAGGCGAAAAGAACCCCUGCGAGGGGAGUGAAAAGAACCUGAAACCGUGUGCUUACAAGCAGUGGAAGGGCUAUGUCGCAAGACAGCCUGACCGCGUGCCUAUUGCAUAAUGAGCCGGCUAGUUA